AGAGAGAAAGAGAGGUGAGAAGGGUCAAUUGAUGAUUAAGAAUAAACAGGGAUUAGAUAACCAUUGAUUAAAAUCUCUUUUGUUCAUUUCUCAUGUAACCCAAAUUUAGUGUUGGAUACCUUUGUGUUUAUCCUUCUUUUGUGGGCGUAUUUUCAGAUAUCUUUGCCUUUUAUCUAAUUUUGUGUCUAGUGAGCUAGAUUAUGCACCUUUGAAACUUGAGUAACUAUUUUUGUUUUUACUAACGAUACAUAAGAUAAGUUUGCAUGGUGUAUCUAAUAAUACUCGUACGGUUCCAAACCAAACUAUUGAAAAUAAUGAACAAAAGCUCACUGUUAUUUUCGUAGGAGAGUUCAAUUUGUGUGUUUCAGUCAUAUGUUUUAUUUAACAGAAAAAUAACACGUUUCAGCCAGUAUUUUUGUUAGAAAUUUAAUAGUUUCAACUAAGACA
rnacentral:lncRNA from 1 species